rnacentral:lncRNA from 1 species
UAGAGCUGUGCUGAGCGGGUGUUUGGGUUGUUGGCUGCUUUCUUCCCCCUUUCUCACACACUUGUAUAUUAUUUUGAGGUGGUGUUCGCAGAGUUUGAAAGGAGAGAGAAUUAAAAAAAAAAGCCGCAAGCGUUUCACUCUUUUAUUUUUAUAAUCCCCUUCAAUUUGGGGUUAAAAAAAAGACAAGAAAACAGGAAGGAAGAGAAAUAAGGAAAUGAGAUGUGGUAAAAGAAGCUAAAAGGUGCCUUUUAAAAGAUCGUUGCUGUGAAGUGAAAAAAAUCUCCAGAGAAACCAAAAAGCACCGCCGAGACCUCUUCCGAACCAAAGGAGUUUGUGUUUGCUUUUAGGGAAGAAGAAAGAUCAUUCAUUCGGAGGAAUAACAACCAAUUAAAAGACAAAUAAAAAAAGUUUGGAGUGGGACGCAGAGCGAGCGAGAGGAGCUGCCGGCGGGCGGUGGGGCGCGGAGCCCGCACUUUCCCGGCCGGGUGAGCGGCGGCCGC